rnacentral:rRNA from 1 species
AUACGGAGGGUGCAAGCGUUACUCGGAAUCACUGGGCGUAAAGCGCGCGCAGGCGGCUAUUUAAGUUGGAUGUGAAAGCCUACGGCUCAACCGUAGAACUGCAUCCAAAACUAUUUAGCUAGAGUGUGGGAGAGGGAGAUGGAAUUAGUUGUGUAGGGGUAAAAUCCGUAGAGAUAACUAGGAAUACCAAAAGCGAAGGCAAUCUUCUGGAACACUACUGACGCUGAGGCGCGAAAGCGUGGGGAGCAAACGGGAUUAGAUACCCCUGUAGUCC